rnacentral:rRNA from 1 species
CCUACGGGAGGCAGCAGUGAGGAAUAUUGGUCAAUGGCCGCAAGUCUGAACCAGCCAAGUCGCGUGAAGGAAGAAGGAUCUAUGGUUUGUAAACUGCUUUUGUAGGGGAGUAAAGGUAUCUACGUGUGGCUAUUUGCAUGUAUCCUAUGAAUAAGCAUCGGCUAACUCCGUGCCAGCAGCCGCGGUAAUACGGAGGAUUCAAGCGUUAUCCGGAUUUAUUGGGUUUAAAGGGUGCGUAGGUGGUUGGAUAAGUUAGAGGUGAAAGUUCGAGGCUCAACAUCGGAAUUGCCUUUGAUACUGUUAGGCUAGAGAGUAGUUGCGGUAGGCGGAAUGUAGGGUGUAGCGGUGAAAUGCUUAGAGAUCACACAGAACACCGAUUGCGAAGGCAGCUUACCAAGCUACAACUGACGCUGAGGCACGAAAGCGUGGGGAGCAAACAGGAUUAGAUACCCGAGUAGUC